AUACGUAGGUGGCGAGCGUUAUCCGGAUUUACUGGGUGUAAAGGGUGUGUAGGCGGGACUGUAAGUCAGAUGUGAAAAUCAUGGGCUCAACUCAUGACCUGCAUUUGAAACUGUGGUUCUUGAGGGUCGGAGAGGUAACCGGAAUUCCUGGGGUAGCGGUGAAAUGCGUAGAUAUCAGGAGGAACACCGGUGGCGAAGGCGGGUUACUGGACGAUUACUGACGCUGAGACACGAAAGCGUGGGGAGCAAACAGGAUUAGAUACCCUGGUAGUCCACGCUGUAAACGAUGAAUGCUAGGUGUGGGGACGUAAGUUUCCGUGCCGGAGUUAACACAAUAAGCAUUCCACCUGGGGAGUACGGCCGCAAGGUUGAAACUCAAAUGAAUUGGCGGGG
rnacentral:rRNA from 1 species